AUUGAACGCUGGCGGCAUGCUUUACACAUGCAAGUCGAACGGUAACAGGUUAAGCUGACGAGUGGCGAACGGGUGAGUAAUGCAUCGGAACGUGCCCGCACGUGGGGGAUAACGCAGCGAAAGCUGCGCUAAUACCGCAUACGAUCUGAGGAUGAAAGCGGGGGACCGUAAGUCCGAGCGCGGUCGGAGAGGCCGAUGUCAGAUUAGGUAGUUGGUGGGGUAAAGGCUCACCAAGCCGACGAUCUGUAGCUGGUCUGAGAGGCCGACCAGCCACACUGGGACUGAGACACGGCCCAGACUCCUACGGGAGGCAGCAGUGGGGAAUUUUGGACAAUGGGCGAAAGCCUGAUCCAGCAAUGCCGCGUGCAGGAAGAAGGCCUUCGGGUUGUAAACUGCUUUUGUACGGAGCGAAAAGGCUCUCUCUAAUACAGGGGGCUCAUGACGGUACCGUAAGAAUAAGCACCGGCUAACUACGUGCCAGCCGCCGCAGUAA
rnacentral:rRNA from 1 species